rnacentral:rRNA from 1 species
ACUCAAAUGAAUAGACGGGGGCUCACACAAGCGGUGGAGCAUGUGGCUCAAUUCGAAGCAACGCGAAGAACCUUAUCCUAGGCUUGACAUGCACGGAUUAACUCGCCGAAAGGCGAGCCAGGCCCGCAAGGGUACAACGUGCACAGGUGCUGCAUGGCUGUCGUCAGCUCGUGCUGUGAAGUGUCGGGUUAAGUCCCUUAACGAGCGAAACCCCUGUCGUUAGUUGCCACCGCGUCAAGGCGGGGACUCUAGCGAGACUGCCGGUGUCAAAUCGGAGGAAGGUGGGGAUGACGUCAAGUCCGCAUGGCCUUUAUGCCUAGGGCUGCACACGUGCUACAAUGGCGCGCACAGAACGAUGCAAGACCGCAAGGUGGAGCAAAUCGCUCAAAACGCGCCCCAGUUCGGAUUGAGGGCUGCAACCCGCCCUCAUGAAGUCGGAAUCGCUAGUAAUCGCGGAUCAGCUACGCCGCGGUGAAUACGUUCCUGAGCCUUGUACACACCGCCCGU